UACGAAGGGGGCUAGCGUUGUUCGGAAUCACUGGGCGUAAAGCGUAUGUAGGCGGAUCAAAAAGUUAGAUGUGAAAUCCCUGGGCUCAACCCAGGAACUGCAUUUAAAACUAGUGAUCUAGAAUUUGGUAGGGGCCAGUAGAAUUUCCAGUGUAGAGGUGAAAUUCGUAGAUAUUGGAAAGAAUACCAGUGGCGAAGGCGACUGGCUGGGCCAUUUUUGACGCUGAGAUACGAAAGCGUGGGUAGCAAAC
rnacentral:rRNA from 1 species